rnacentral:lncRNA from 1 species
UUGUAAGUCCGAUUCCCAUCCGUUUUGAGUGCUUCCCUUGCAUUGAUUUGAGUGUUUCUUUUUUAUUUAACAUGAUGAGUUAAGUGUAAAGAAUUAUUAUACUCUAGUGCAAUUUAACCGGGUAUUGCAAGUUAUUACACUAUUUUUCAGGCUACCAUAUUAUUCGAGGUCAGCUUAAUUUGGUGGUGAAAACAUUCUUUAAAAUGUCAAUGCACAAAACAUAAAAGAUUUCGUGUGCUUAAAAACAGAUUGGAGGCGGAUUGGCUGAGUAUGCAGUUGCAAAGGAGAGCUUGACUGUUCCAAGGCCAGAAGAAGUAUCGGCUGCUGAAGGUGCCGGGCUUCCAAUUGCUGCUCUUACAGCACACAAGGCCCUAGUUGAUGUUGCUGGAAUCAAAUUAGAUGGAAGUGGACCGCGUAUGAACAUUCUUGUCACGGCUGCCUCGGGUGGUGUUGGACACUAUGCUGUUCAAUUGGCAAAGCUAUGUAAUACUCAUGUUACAGGAACAUGUGGAGCUCGUAACAUUGAUUUCGUAAAGAGUUUGGGAGCAGAUGAGGUUCUUGACUACACGACGCCAGAAGGAGCAGCUCUUAAGAGUCCAUCAGGCCAGAAAUAUGAUGUAGUGGUUCACUGUGCUAGAGGAAUUUCCUGGUCAACAUUUGAGCUUAAUUUGAGUGACACAGGCAAGGUCAUUGAUCUGACUCCCGGGCCCAGCUCAAUGUGCACCUAUGUAUUAAAAAUACUGACCUUCUCCAAAAAGCAGUUGCUGCCAUUGAUUUUGAUUCCUAAAGGAGAUAAGGAACUGAACUUGCUCGUCCGAUUGGUAAAGGAAGGGAAGCUUAAGACUGUAUUUGACUCCAAGCAUCCUCUAAGCAAGGCGCAAGAUGCUUGGGCCAAGAGCCUUGAUGGACAUGCCACGGGGAAGAUCAUUGUGGAGAUAUAACAUUAUUGUCUUUCAAUCGAUCUAAAUGUGGCAAUAUUGGUGUCUCACUGAGCAUUCAGAGUAUCAAGGGUUACCCCGAUAGAUGUAGAUCGAUCAAUCUCAAUCUAUUCAAAGUGAUCAACAAGAUUGGAAAUCGCCUCAAUGAUUCAUGAUUGUGUCUGUAAUGUGCCUACCACUUAAUGUAUCGUAACGUAAUUUUUGGUUUCUUUACCUUUACAGCCACUAUGUAUAAGCAUUCUUUCAGGAAAGUAAUGCCUUUAGAGCCUAUAGUAUAGCUGUAGUUUUUCAUUAUAAAAUGCAGGUGGAUUUUCUUUUUAAAAUUUAGAGCAAUGUGCAAAAUGAAAUGGCUGAUGCCUGAAGGUACAAUACCAGAAAAGCUAAGAAAUAACUUCGACAGGCUAAAAAUCCAGAAGUAAAACUGGUAGUUUGAGGUUAAAACGAGGUUACCUGAUUACACUUUAUACAUGAAAUUGAACGUAGAUUAGCAUUACAAUUAAGAAGAAAAGUUAUAGAUAUAAAGCACACAUAAUUAAGCUUCAAAGUAAAAGUUGAUAAAUCCAAAUGUUGAUUGAGGAAAUAACUCAAGUUAUAGAAAAACCAUCCUGUCUAAGCAUGAGGUACACCUAGAUGAGCAAUAUUAGAGCCCUCCGCAGUAGAUGGGGUAAACACAAGUAGAUCAAAAGCUUGACAUAACUCAGAGUUCUCUCUUUCAAAACAAGUGGAAUUAGCCAAUCUCCAAAAAACAAAAGGCUAAUCUCCAAGAGGAUGAGGUUAAACUCUAUUCGAACUAUCAUUGAAAUUUUGUAGUAAUAUUCUCAAAUCGUCAUUGAACAACAACAACCUAUGAUAAUCUCGUUUAGUGGGGUCUGAGGAAUGUAGUGUGUAUGCAAACCUUAUUUCUACCUUAGGUAGAGAGGCAGUUUUCAAAUAAACCCUUGGCAUCCUUACCUCAAAGAUUUUCUCACCUUGCUCUUGAGAAGACUCGAACUCACAACCUUUUAGUUUAGUUAGAAGGGAAGGUUUUUUAGUAUUAGAAUAACCCCUCUUAAGAGUACAUCAAAUUAUUGUUCAAAUUUCUCACUGGUUAAAAGUCCAGUCAGCUUUAGUGCGCAAUUCUCUGAAUAAAAAGCUUUACUUUUCCCUUGUUUGAAAGUACUGUUAGACCAAAAAAUGUAAUCUUUGAUUAGCCUAAAUAAAUUUCUACAAUAAAGGGUUAAACCUAGUUAAUGAUAAUAAUUUCAUAUCUAUAAUUGGUUAAUAUGAGUGACGUAGUUUAGCGUUGGAAUCAUAUUAAAUGCAGCAUAUAUUUAAUUUUUCAUGACUAUCAGUGAAAAGGUGAAAAGGGAAUGUCUAGAAAUAAAUAGCACUAAAUGAUAUUAAAGUAAAUAAAGAGAAUUAUUAACCUAAUAUUGGAUGAGGUGGAUGAUUCCUCCCCAGGACAAUGAAGGAUGAAAGAUAAAUGUUAGAAUAUUAAGAUCCUUCUCGGAUCUAAUGGAAAAUGUAUGGAAUAAUACAAAAUCGAUUCUCUUUAGAAAGAUAAUGUUUGUAUUCAAUUUAGAGGAAGUAUAAAGAAUGCUCUUAUUAGAGAAUAUCACAUGUCUUUCACUUUAUCUUUCUUUCUAUCUAUAAGGGACAUACCCCCAAUUAACCUAAAAGUACAAGUACAGAGAAUGCCUAGUGAAAUAUUCUCUUAGAGAUUCUACUGCUAAACUAGCCAUUACUGAUAUUUAGUAUACUUGACCUCAGCCUCGAUCGACCGCUCGGCGAUGAGCCCCACUGGUUACUAGUCGAUCUCGACCAAAUUACUUUCUGUUGAUAUUCGUUAGACAGAUUCUGACCCUUACAAGUACAAUUAGAAGAAAGAAUGAUUAAUAAUAACACGCAGUGUUUUUGUGAUCAUAACGUUCUCGCUUCGACCAUAUAACAUUCGAAAAAAAAAGAUCAAAAAGAAAAAGUUCUUGGUGGCUGGUGCUAUAGAGAAAGGUGAGUUCUCUAGGAAAUGACAAUUUUGUUUGAAUAGGCCCAAAUGGUCCAAAAUGAAAUACAACUGCUUUCUUCAAUUUUAAUAUGUUUAUGUUGCUUAUUACAUUUGAAUACACAACAUAAUCUUCAAGAGAAUGGAUUCAAUUGGUUGACAAUCCACUAUAUGAUCUCUUAGCAAUUAAGAGUACUCAAGGUACACCAUUCUAACAAGGCAACAAUUGACUAUUUUCAUGAGUCAAAGCAAUUUCAAUUUUCGACCUUAGUUUUUUAACUAGUGACAAUGGAUAUGCCAACCACUAUAUAUACACGGUUGACUAUUUAUACACAGGAGGAGGAAACGACACCACUUUUCAACCAUUUAAAUGCAAAAUAUUGCUUAAUAUUCGUCCUCAAUCAUUUUAAAUACUGCCGCUGAAAAAGUAGGACAAUGCGGUGAAAUAGUAACUGCUAUGGCAGGGAAGCUAAUGCGCGCGGUGCAGUACGACUCCUAUGGAGGUGGAGCUGAUGGCUUGAAGGUACUUUCUCUUCAUUCCUUUGGAUGGAAACUCUCUAUGUACAAUCAAGGAUUUAUCUUAUAUAUAUCGGCAAUAGAGAAAAAAAAUUUAAGCUAUAGUCUAUGUUAAGUAGGUAUUAUAUCUUAUUUUCUGUGUUACUAAUCCCACUUCUUACUGAUGACUACAUGUAGUUCACUUAUAGUAUAAAUUUUAUGUUUUGCACUGUGAGAACAAAUUCUAUGACUGCUAACUGGAGCAUAAGAAUUUUAAUUUCUAUUUUAUGCAAGUAUCAUGACAAGAGGGGUUGCUCUAAUGGUAAGCAACCCCCACUUCCAACCGAGAGGUUGUGAGUUCAACCAUAUUACGGACCCUUCGGGAUCGUAAAUCACGGGUCCAGGUCCAUUUACUAAAAUCGUUGGUCGAAGUCAACUUAAAUCUAUUUAUUAAAGGCAUACUCAAUAUUUUUCUCAAAUUUCAUAUAAAGAAUUUUUGAAAAUUGCAUCCGGACUGUACACGCAAAUCGAGAAGGAAGAACAUAAGGUUUUGAAGACCUCGGAAUCCCGAAUUAAGUCCUAAAAUACACAAUGACCUUUUGGGUCAUCACAACGUGGUAUGCAUCUGGUACUGCUAACCUACACCGAGUCAAAUAUACUUUCUACCCUUUUCAUUCUAUAUGCAACCCUCACUUCCAAUCAAGAGGUUGUGAGUUCAAGUCUCCCUAAGAGCAAGGUGGGAAGUUCUUGGAGGGAAGGAUGCCGGGGGUCUAUUUGGAAACAGCCUCUCUACCCAUGGUAGGGUAAGGUCUGUGUACCUACUACCCUCCCAGGCCCCACUAAGUGAGAUUAUACUGGGUUGUUGUUGUUGUUGUUGUUGUUGCAAGUAUCAUGAAUAAGGCCUAUGUUACAUGAAACCGGGAAGGAGUACGUAUCUGGUGUGUAUUAAGUAUUUAUACAGUUAAUGUAAUUUUUUGGUGUAUUUUGAAGAAUGCAAAGGUAAUACAGAGCAAGGUUGUAGCCAUAUUACUGAUAUGAUGCACAUAUAUUGCUUGUUGCAGCAUGUUGAAGUUCCAGUGCCUACUCCAGACAAGGAUGAGGUCUUGUUAAAGUUGGAGGCUACAAGCUUAAAUCCAUUAGACUUGAGAUUUCAGAACGGGGUCAAUCGUCCUUUUGUUACUCGCAAAUUUCCUGUUAUACCUGGUAUUUUCAAUAAUCUUCACAACUGAUCCUUUCUUCAGAAUCCAAAAUAAGGAGACACCAAGAGACCCUUUCAAUAUUUUUAUAAUUGCCUAUGUAAAUUUAUUAAAUCUGGUUAGUGAUAAUGGGUGCUUGAGCACUCAUAAAGGACAACGUGGAUCCGCCACUGUCUACUUUAUAUUGUACACUUUUAAUACUGCAUUUUUUGUGAGGAGCAGGUACUGAUGUAGCAGGGGAGGUUGUAGAGGUUGGAUCUAGUGUUAUAAAAUUCAAGGCUGGUGAUAAAGUUGUGGCUAUUCUUAAUCUUCUUGUAAGUCUAAUUGCUUUUCGUUUUGACUUGUUUUCAUUAUGUUAGUCUUGCAUAUUUACGCACCUGCUAGGCUCUAAAUUUACACACAAGUCACAAAAACAAUCGUCUCUGUAUCUUGUCUUAUUUUGGUCUCUGCUACCAAUUUUAGAAGGUAACCUCAUCAACUUGAUCUUUUUGCCUUAAUCUGAUGAGUUUAAGUUAUAUUUUUUAAAACUUUAUCUAAUUCAGUAUCGUUAUGCAGUCCAUAAGUUCAUCCCUUUUGAAGACGAAGUGCUCUCUGCCAAUCUCUUUUCUCGCUAGUUCCCUUAUCCAUCCCAGUUUUACUACGUCUAUAAUAUUAAUACCAUGAGUUUUCUCAUUAAUUUUUUAUCAUCAUGUUCAAAUAGUUAUGCACUUAUAUGAUGUGAAUGGUAGUACUUUACGUCAAAAAGUUAAGUACUCACGAAUCUAAAAUAUGGAUCCGCCACUGAGUCUUGAUAUGGUGAGUUACCUGUUGUUAUGAACCAACUUAACUUGAUAGGGUAAAAAUUCUUUGCAUUGUCAGUGAUGAUAGUUGUAACGUAAUAAUAAUAUGUUCGUGAUGACAGAUAGGAGGUGGAUUGGCUGAAUAUGCAGUUGCAAAGGAGAGCUUUACUGUUCUAAGGCCAGAAGAGGUAUCGGCUGCUGAAGGUGCAUGUCUUCCAAUUGCUGCUAUUACAGCACACAAGACCCUUGUUGACAUUGCUGGAGUCAAAUUAGAUGGAAGUGGACCGCGUAUGAACAUUCUUGUCACGGCUGCAUCGGGUGGUGUUGGACACUAUGUUGUUCAAUUGGCAAAGCUAGGAAAUACUCAUGUUACAGGGACAUGUGGAGCUCGUAACAUUGAGUUCGUAAAGAGUUUAGGAGCAGAUGAAGUUCUUGAUUACAAGACGCCAGAAGGAGCAGCUCUUAAGAGUCCAUCAGGACAGAAAUAUGAUGUAGUGGUUCACUGUGCUAAAGACAUCCCCUGGUCAACAUUUGAGCCUAAUUUGAGUGAGAAUGGUAAGGUCAUUGAUCUGACUCCUGGACCUAGUGCAAUAUGCACCUAUGUAUUUCAGAAACUGACCUUCUCCAAAAAGCAGUUGCUGCCAUUUAUUUUGAUUCCUAAAGGAGAUAAGGAACUGAAGUUGCUUGUUUGGUUGGUGAAGGAAGGGAAGUUUAAGA